UAGGGAAUCUUCCACAAUGGACGCAAGUCUGAUGGAGCAACGCCGCGUGAGUGAAGAAGGCUUUCGGGUCGUAAAACUCUGUUGUUGGAGAAGAAUGGUCGGCAGAGUAACUGUUGUCGGCGUGACGGUAUCCAACCAGAAAGCCACGGCUAACUACGUGCCAGCAGCCGCGGUAAUACGUAGGUGGCAAGCGUUAUCCGGAUUUAUUGGGCGUAAAGCGAGCGCAGGCGGUUUUUUAAGUCUGAUGUGAAAGCCCUCGGCUUAACCGAGGAAGUGCAUCGGAAACUGGGAAACUUGAGUGCAGAAGAGGACAGUGGAACUCCAUGUGUAGCGGUGAAAUGCGUAGAUAUAUGGAAGAACACCAGUGGCGAAGGCGGCUGUCUGGUCUGUAACUGACGCUGAGGCUCGAAAGCAUGGGUAGCGAACAGGAUUAGAUACCCUGGUAGUCCAUGCCGUAAAACGAUGAAUGCUAGGUGUUGGAGGGUUUCCGCCCUUCAGUGCCGCAGCUAAACGCAUUAAGCAUUCCGCCUGGGGGAGUACGACCGCAAGGUUGAAAC
rnacentral:rRNA from 1 species